rnacentral:rRNA from 1 species
ACACGACUCUCGGCAACGGAUAUCUCGGCUCUCGCAUCGAUGAAGAACGUAGCGAAAUGCGAUACCUGGUGUGAAUUGCAGAAUCCCGCGAGCCAUCGAGUCUUUGAACGCAAGUUGCGCCCGAGCCAUUCGGCCGAGGGCACGCCUGCCUGGGCGUCACGC